AUGGAAUCUUCCCAAAAUGCAGCUCAACUGGCGGCCUCGGAAGAAGAGUAGCUGAACCAAAAGUCCAAACACUACGUCAACGACGUACAGGCCCCUCGUAUGGUAGAAACUACACGGUAUCCGACUGCAAACUGAAACGUGGACACUGCAUUUAUCCUCUCGCAUGUCUUUGCCCUAAGCCACUCCAAGGCGGAUACUACCGUGCGCCACCGGACGAAUAUCAUUGGUACUACGAUAACAGGACAAACAAAUGUGUGAAUCAUACGUAUGAUCCAGCCGGCUGUAACAACUUUGACAAGUUCGAAAAAUGUAACACAUAUUGCAACAAUGCCACCCA